rnacentral:rRNA from 1 species
AGUGAACGCUGGCGGCAGGCCUAACACAUGCAAGUCGAACGGCAGCACAGUAAGAGCUUGCUCUUACGGGUGGCGAGUGGCGGACGGGUGAGGAAUACAUCGGAAUCUACUUUUUCGUGGGGGAUAACGUAGGGAAACUUACGCUAAUACCGCAUACGACCUACGGGUGAAAGCAGGGGAUCUUCGGACCUUGCGCGAUUGAAUGAGCCGAUGUCGGAUUAGCUAGUUGGCGGGGUAAAGGCCCACCAAGGCGACGAUCCGUAGCUGGUCUGAGAGGAUGAUCAGCCACACUGGAACUGAGACACGGUCCAGACUCCUACGGGAGGCAGCAGUGGGGAAUAUUGGACAAUGGGCGCAAGCCUGACCCAGCCAUACCGCGUGGGUGAAGAAGGCCUUCGGGUUGUAAAGCCCUUUUGUUGGGAAAGAAAAGCAGCAGGUUAAUACCCCGCUGUUCUGACGGUACCCAAAGAAUAAGCACCGGCUAACUUCGUG